UUUCCCUCAGGAUAGCUGGCACUCGCUUGAGCGAGUCUCAUCUGGUAAAGCGAAUGAUUAGAGGCCUUGGGGCCGAAACGACCUCAACCUAUUCUCAAACUUUAAAUGGGUGAGAUCUCUGGCUUGCUUGAACGUUGAAGCCACGAGAUAUUGCAAAUGGAUCAGAGUGCCAAGUGGGCCAAUUUUGGUAAGCAGAACUGGCGCUGUGGGA
rnacentral:rRNA from 1 species